CUGAACUCACACGUGCCCUUGAAUCUUACAGACCGCGUCCACACAAAAACUGUUUUUUUUUUGGGUUUUUUUUUUGUACUCGCGCUGAUUGCGGAGAAGAGCGCUGAUGAGAAACCGUGUUUUGCUCUCGCUCCAAAGUGAUGCAAUGCAACUCCGCGAUCGGUACUUUUGCGGCAGGAGCGAACACUCCGCCUCGGUGUUUUAUUUAUCGCUGCUGCUGAACCUGUCAGACGAAAGCAGCAGUGACAGAUGUACAGAACAAAACGCUGAAUGCCAGAAUCAGAGAGAAUCUGACACAGUGACACUGGGGGAGAAAGACUAGACGGCUUUUCCCUUUGCAGUAUUUUGUAUUGCAUUGUCAGUGUUUCACGCAAAACCCAACACCCAACGCCGACACCGUCACGACCUUGAUGAGACAGAAAGCCGAUCGAGGUUGGCAGAGCCGCCGCUCUGGAGCAAAGAGUCGUGUGCAGAGCCGAUCCCUCUGGAGGCAUAAACACUUUGACUCGCCCUGGAUUCUGCUCCGAUCCAGCGUCGUUUACUAACAGGACGAGAGCUCAGAGGUUACUUUCUAUGCUUUUUUUGGGAUUAAAAGUGGAUUUACCUUCCCUUCUGUGUAUCAACCUUACUGCAACAGCGAUCCACGGAGACUGGAUGUGAACCCUGGAUUGUGGUGUGAGGGCCCCGUCUACUUCAGUUAUUGAGGAGAAUGCUGCAGCAUUGUUUUGCUGUGGUCUACAAAACUUGAAACACAAAACUUCACCUUUCCAUCAGCACGCAACAGCAGCACCAGAAACCACAUGCCUCUAGUGUUCUGGAUGGUUACCAGUAAGUUUAACUGUGUAUCAUGACACACACAGUUGUGCUUUGGGAUGAUCACAUCACAGCCCCAUAGCAGCAAAAGGUUAAAAACAAUUGAAUUUGUAGAAAAUACCCCCAGACAGUGAUGCCAAGGAAACUGAUAAUCCUACAACAAAUCUUUCCUUUGCCACCGUCUUGUCCACAUACAGACUACACAUGCUUUUAUUCUGGCGGAGCCGUGCGGAUUUAUUUAGUGCUGAAUUAAUAGCUGCUACGACACAUUUUAAGAUUUUCGCACAUGUUGAUGUUGAGAAUGUCAAACGUGCACUUGAAAUGUCAUUAUUGCUCCAACAUGGAAACGUGUGAGGGUAUGAAUACAUUGUGGGUUAGUUGCCAAACUGUUAGCAUGGUAAUUGCAGCAUAAUCUAAGGAUGUGCAGAAAUAAUGUGCAAUCUUGAAACUGAACUCAUCCAACACUAUAUUUGUAGAUACUAAUUCGUCUGGUUAACAUACACGCUGUACGGCGUUCAAUAUUUUUUCUUAUACACAAUAAAAGCCUCAUUUGACAGCUGUGAUUCCAUCAUUGCACAAAUACCAUUUUUUUCCCCCCAUAACACCGAGCUCAGUUUCCAUGGAAAUAUUUUGUAUUAUACUCAUUCGAGGAGAACAGAUCUUCUACCUAAGAGCAGGCCCUGAGUAUAUGAGUUCAUAUUUGGAAUAUAUGCAAAUACAGUCAAUGUUGGCACAGGCUUUAAAUUAACAAGAGAUGGUGAAUUGGUUUGGGCUGUUUUAGCAUUAAAGAUUAAAGCAGAGCCUUUUUUUUUUCUUUUUUUCCAGUCAUGUUCAAUUUCCAUCCAUAAAUAACUCAUGAAGGCCAAUAAAAGCGGUA